rnacentral:rRNA from 1 species
GACGAACGCUGGCGGCGUGCUUAACACAUGCAUGUCGAGCGGUAAGGCUCCUUCGGGAGUACACGAGCGGCGAACGGGGGAGUAACACGUGAGCAAUCUGCCCUUCUCAUCGGAAUAACCAUUGGAAACGAUGGCUAAUGCCGAAUACGACUUCCUUUCGCAUGUCAGGAAGUGGAAAGCUCCGGCGGAGAAGGAUGAGCUCGCGGCCUAUCAGCUUGUUGGUGAGGUAAUGGCUCACCAAGGCGACGACGGGUAGCCGGCCUGUGAGGGUGACCGGCCACACUGGGACUGAGACACGGCCCAGACUCCUACGGGAGGCAGCAGUGGGGAAUAUUGGACAAUGGGCGAAAGCCUGAUCCAGCAACGCCGCGUGAGGGAUGACGGCCUUCGGGUUGUAAACCUCUUUCAGCAGGGACGAAGCGAAAGUGACGGUACCUGCAGAAGAAGGACCGGCCAACUACGUGCCAGCCGCCGCUGUAA